AGAGUUUGAUCCUGGCUCAGGAGGAACGCUGGCGGCGUGCUUAACACAUGCAAGUCGAGCGAAGCACUUAAGUUUGAUUCUUCGGAUGAAGACUUUUGUGACUGAGCGGCGGACGGGUGAGUAACGCGUGGGUAACCUGCCUCAUACAGGGGGAUAACAGUUAGAAAUGACUGCUAAUACCGCAUAAGCGCACAGUACCGCAUGGUACCGUGUGAAAAACUCCGGUGGUAUGAGAUGGACCCGCGUCUGAUUAGCUAGUUGGUGGGGUAACGGCUCACCAAGGCGACGAUCAGUAGCCGACCUGAGAGGGUGACCGGCCACAUUGGGACUGAGACACGGCCCAAACUCCUACGGGAGGCAGCAGUGGGGAAUAUUGCACAAUGGGCGAAAGCCUGAUGCAGCGACGCCGCGUGAAGGAUGAAGUAUUUCGGUAUGUAAACUUCUAUCAGCAGGGAAGAAAAUGACGGUACCUGACUAAGAAGCCCCGGCUAACUACGUGCCAGCAGCCGCGGUAAUACGUAGGGGGCAAGCGUUAUCCGGAUUUACUGGGUGUAAAGGGAGCGUAGACGGCAUGGCAAGUCUGAAGUGAAAGCCCGGGGCUCAACCCCGGGACUGCUUUGGAAACUGUCAGGCUAGAGUGCUGGAGAGGUAAGUGGAAUUCCUAGUGUAGCGGUGAAAUGCGUAGAUAUUAGGAGGAACACCAGUGGCGAAGGCGGCUUACUGGACAGUAACUGACGUUGAGGCUCGAAAGCGUGGGGAGCAAUACAGGAUUAGAUACCCUGGUAGUCCACGCCGUAAACGAUGACUACUAGGGGUCGGGAAGCAAAGCUUUUCGGUGCCCGCAGCCAACGCAAUA
rnacentral:rRNA from 1 species